UCCCUGUUAGCUCAGUUGAUAAAGAACCUGCCUGCAAUGCAGAAGACCCUGGUUCAAUUCCUGGGUCAGGAA
rnacentral:tRNA from 1 species